GAUGAACGCUGGCGGCGUGCCUAAUACAUGCAAGUCGAGCGAACGGACGAGAAGCUUGCUUCUCUGAUGUUAGCGGCGGACGGGUGAGUAACACGUGGAUAACCUACCUAUAAGACUGGGAUAACUUCGGGAAACCGGAGCUAAUACCGGAUAAUAUUUUGAACCGCAUGGUUCAAAAGUGAAAGACGGUCUUGCUGUCACUUAUAGAUGGAUCCGCGCUGCAUUAGCUAGUUGGUAAGGUAACGGCUUACCAAGGCAACGAUGCAUAGCCGACCUGAGAGGGUGAUCGGCCACACUGGAACUGAGGCACGGUCCAGACUCCUACGGGAGGCAGCAGUAGGGAAUCUUCCGCAAUGGGCGAAAGCCUGACGGAGCAACGCCGCGUGAGUGAUGAAGGUCUUCGGAUCGUAAAACUCUGUUAUUAGGGAAGAACAUAUGUGUAAGUAACUGUGCACAUCUUGACGGUACCUAAUCAGAAAGCCACGGCUAACUACGUG
rnacentral:rRNA from 1 species